GCGGGUGUUGUGUAAUGGUAAGACCUUAGCCUUCCAAGCUAAAGACACGGGUUCGAUUCCCGUCACCCGCU
rnacentral:tRNA from 1 species